rnacentral:rRNA from 1 species
CAGCCGCCGCAGUAAUACGUAGGGUGCGAGCGUUAAUCGGAUUUACUGGGCGUAAAGCGUGCGCAGGCGGCCCGUUAAGACAGGUGUGAAAUCCCUGGGCUCAACCUAGGAAUUGCGCUUGUGACUGGCGGGCUCGAGUACGGUAGAGGGGGGUGGAAUUCCUGGUGUAGCAGUGAAAUGCGUAGAGAUCAGGAGGAACACCGAUGGCGAAGGCAGCCCCCUGGGCCUGUACUGACGCUCAUGCACGAAAGCGUGGGGAGCAAACAGGAUUAGAUACCCUGGUAGUCCACGCCCUAAACGAUGGGUACUAGCCGUUUGGUGCGCGAUAGCGCUGAGUGGCGAAGCUAACGCGUGAAGUACCCCGCCUGGGGAGUACGGCCGCAAGGUUGAAACUUAAAGGAAUUGGCGGG